ensembl:snoRNA small nucleolar RNA SNORD47
UAGCAGUGAUGAAAAGAUUCUGCCAAAUGAUAUCUCAUGAUUAUAACCCUUACCGUUCCAUAUUUUCUGAGUUU